UUUCAUUGAAUUAGCCCCAAAUCGAUCCGUUACCAAACUUCUCCUCUUUUCAUCUGAAGAAACCAAGAUACCAUCUUUCUUGUCUUCAUCCUUGAUUUGAACCAAAUUGAGACGAGUUCUAUCUUCAACAUUUUCCCCCUCAAAUACCUACCACGCGUUUCUACUUUGUAGAGUUCUCUCUUCUCUUUUCCAUUUCUAGAUUUCUCGGGGACACAAGUAUAUUUCUAGAACUCUCCUGACUAUCCGCGACUCAUCUAUUUAUUUAUAAUUGCUGAUUGUUUAAUCAGAAUAAUCAUAAUCAUUUGAAAAAUUGCCCAAACAGACCUUAAUUCACCGAUCGGAAAAUCUCCUCUCUGUGUUAACUACGUCCACCGGUCAUUGCUAUGUCGACGGUGACAUCAACGCCGGCCGCAGCCGCUUAUUCUUCGCAAUACAAUUACUUAAACGGCACAUACUUUCCGACGCCGUUUCAUCUCCAACAACAACCAUCUCAGCCCUACAUUGGCCCUGCUCCUCCUGUCUAUUCUGCUCCGGUGUCUGUUCCCGGUGUUUACACUUUACCUCAAUAUCAACAAGCGCAGCAAUUAUUUCAAAGAGUUGCACAAACUAUUACGCCUGAAGCAAUUGAGAAUGUGAAAGCUGCGCUUGCAAACAGUGAGAUUGAGCAAAAAGCUGAGGCCAAAAAGAAAGCUGUGCCUCGAAAGGCAGCAGGGCAGACUUGGGAAGAUCCUACCCUUGCAGACUGGCCAGAGAAUGAUUACCGUAUAUUCUGUGGUAACCUUGGGAAUGAGGUGAAUGAUGAUGUUUUAUUAAAAGCAUUUUCAAGAUUUCCUUCAUUUAACAUGGCCAGGGUUGUGAGAGACAAGCGGACUGGUAAGACCAAGGGCUAUGGGUUUGUAAGUUUCUCCAACCCUUCAGACCUUGUCACAGCACUCAAAGAAAUGAAUGGUCAAAAGAUCCUGCCUUGCUUGGGAGAGUGUGUUAUUUCAACCCCCUUCUCCCCCAGCGCCAGAAGUCUAGCUGGAUGAUCCAGCAGCACAACAACUAGAAGAAUGGUGCUUUUGAAAUCGAAUUAGGGAAAUAUGUUGGAAACCGGCCAGUUCAACUUCGAAAGAGUAAGUGGCAAGACAGGAUUGAUUAUGAAGCUUUGGAAAAACAAAAGAAUGUGUCUCCGAAGAAACCAAAGUUACCAAAGAAGAGUGUAUUGCACAAGUGAGCGUCAAAUCAUGUGAUUAUGGAUCAAUGGUAAGAUAUUGUGGAUCUAUUUCUAUGACCAUUUGGAAAAGGAGGGAAAAAGUGGCAAAGUCAUUGAAUAGAGAUGCUCCUAUUCAACUUAUGUAGUGCUUUAUGUUUCAGUUGAUGAUAGUUCUUUUCUCCUGCCUUUUAUGGCCAUUAGAGCUUGGACUUUCUCGGCAAUAAGAUUGUCGAAUGGAAGCGUAAUUGUGUGAGAUAUUUGAAUGUAUUCAUAAAUUUGUCUAAUUGAACAAACGAUGAAAACUCGCUCCAGUGUUUAGUGUGAUCAAAUAAUCUUUAUAGAGUUAAACUAUGGCUGCCCCAUGUGAGUUGCCUCC